rnacentral:lncRNA from 1 species
CCUGCCUCAGCCUCUGGAGUGCUGGGAUUACAGGCGUGUGCCACCAUGCCCGGCUAGGAGAACGAUCCUGGAAGUGGGAGUUGUCACUCUGGAAUGACACCCAGACAGACAGCAAGACGGACCACAGUGGGUGGUGGCAUCGUACUCCACACCCCCUGAGAAUAUCAGCUGGUCACUGCUGCAGACGUUCAGAGACAGACUCGGAAAUGAAGAAAGCCAGCAAGAGACCGGCUGAGGCCUUGCCAGCAGACCAGCCGGCCAGGGAGGCAGAGAGGAUGAGCGGCCAGGAGGAAAGGGCUGAAAACCGGAUGGAAACAGGAGCAGAAACUGCUGGAGAAGCCAAGAUGUGAGGCCACUGGAGCGAGGGUUUCACUGGGAGAGAUGUUCCUGAUUUCCCUGUGUGGCUUUUAAUACCAAUCCAGCCCUUAACCAACAAUCUUGUAACAGCCAAACUGUUCUUUAUUAAACGUUUUUGUGAGGAAAAAAAAAAAAAGAAUGGAAUGCAAAAUGGUUAGAGUGCAUCAUAGAUAAUUAGGGUCAGUGUUGAGUAUUGCUUGUUGGAGCUCACGUUUUACUUAUGUCUGUGUGUGUGUGCCCACGUUUGUGGGUGCAUUUCUCCCUC